AUUGAACGCUGGCGGCAGGCCUAACACAUGCAAGUCGAGCGGAUGAAGGGAGCUUGCUCCUGGAUUCAGCGGCGGACGGGUGAGUAAUGCCUAGGAAUCUGCCUGGUAGUGGGGGAUAACGUCCGGAAACGGGCCCUAAUACCGCAUACGUCCUGAGGGAGAAAGUGGGGGAUCUUCGGACCUCACGCUAUCUGAUGAGCCUAGGUCGGAUUAGCUAGUUGGUGGGGUAAAGGCCUACCAAGGCAACGAUCCGUAACUGGUCUGAGAGGAUGAUCAGUCACACUGGAACUGAGACACGGUCCAGACUACUACGGGAGGCAGCAGUGGGGAAUAUUGGACAAUGGGCGAAAGCCUGAUCCAGCCAUGCCGCGUGUGUGAAGAAGGUCUUCGGAUUGUAAAGCACUUUAAGUUGGGAGGAAGGGAAGUAAGUUAAUACCUUGCUGUUUUGACGUUACCAACAGAAUAAGCACCGGCUAACUUCGUG
rnacentral:rRNA from 1 species